rnacentral:lncRNA from 1 species
UUUAAUUUUAAUUAUUAGAGUCAAUGGCUUUAUUUAAUAUACAUAUUAUUUCAUUUUUAUUAUAUAUAAUUGACUUGCCUUUUUAAGACCUAAAGUCUUAUAAGUCAAUUCAUUUAAUUGUAUUUGUUGUUUAACUGUGGCUCUAGAGAGCUGAGCAUGGUACCCCAUGCCAGUAAUUUCAGCACUUAGAGGAAGAGGCAGAACAAUCAGGAGUUUAAGAUCAUCUUCAGCUACAUAAAAAGCUCCAGGCCAGUCCGGGCUAUAUCAGACCCUUUCUCUAAAAAAGAGUACUGAGGCUAGGAGUUUGACUCAAAGGAUAAAAUGUUUAUUGUGGAAGCAUGAAGACCAGAGUUCUGAACCCACAUAAAAGACAAGGUAAGCAUGGCAGCCACCUAUAAUUCUGUCACUCUUAAUUCAGAGGCAGGAGAUCCCUGGGACAAACUGUCUAACUAGACUGUGUAGAAUUGUUGAGCUCUAGGUUAAGCAAAACACUGCCUUGAUGAAGUAAAACUUGCCCAUCGAUUUUGAGCCUGUGCACUGGUGCACACAUCCAUGCCUGUGCAUGCUCUAUGUACUUGUGUGUGUGUGUAUGUCUGCAUGUUAACCUCUGUCUAAACAUCUCAUUCUUUGCCUCCUUCAGGGAGCUCUCAACAUCAAUGACAGAACCAUACCUCAGCCCCCCAUUCUUCAGCUGUCGGUGGAGAAGUUGAGCAGAGAUGGAGCGUUCCUCAUGGAUGCAGGCUCAGUACUGAUGCUUUGGGUUGGAAGAAAUUGUGCACAGAAUUUUCUCAGCCAAGUUCUGGGAGUUCAAAACUAUGCAUCAAUUCCACAGACAAUGACAGACCUUCCAGAACUUGAUACACCAGAAUCUGCCAGAAUGACAGCUUUUAUCUCCUGGCUUAGAGAACAGAGGCCAUUUUUCCCAAUACUCUAUGUAAUCAGAGAGGAGAGUCUGAUGAAGGCAGCCUUCCUUCAGAACCUGGUAGAAGACAGAACGGAGUCAGCGCUGUCAUAUUAUGAAUUCCUCCUGCACAUACAGCAGCAAGUGAACAAGUGACGAGUCGUGGGCUGCUGAGGAACCACUUUCAGAGUUCCUGGGGAUACAGUACCUUCCUUUCCUCCUUAAAAUUGUGAACAAAUGUGAUGAUGAUUACGAUGUUUCACUGUGAUUUUAACCAACUAUAGCAAAUAAAGGACCACAGCUGAGGGUCAGACGUGCAACUCCAAAAUACUGUAUUUUUCAAAUCAAAAUAGAUGUCUACACGAUUGGAAACCUUUUUUUCCCCUUUGCUGCCAACUAUGUUUGAGUUGUUAUGGAUUGAAAUGAGACAAUAUUGCAGAGGCAAAGUACAUUUUAUAAAAUAAAGACUUCUGUGUUCUGCAUUUCUAUUUCUCAUUUUUUUUUAUUAGUUUUUGGCUGCUACAUUUAAAAAACCUCACAAGACUACGUGUUGCAGGGAGUUUCAAGUCUAUCAAUAAUGAUCUUUUUCAAAUUGGGAAAUCCAAAAGUCAACAGACUGUAGAAAAGCUGGAAUCCAUUCCCUUUACAUGUUUGGUUUUUGCCCCACCCCCCACCUUUUUUUAAGGAAGGCAAAAGAUCAUGUUAACUAAAGUUGGAGUAAGCCAGCUCUGGUCCUGCUUGGGAAGAACAUAAAGUAACUGUCAAGCUUUAAAGUCUGUCAGUAUUUUCUCUACUUGAACAAAGUCACUUUAAUUUGAGGUGAAAACUAAUUAGGUGGUUUUCUGCUGUUUUAUUCUGCCAUGAAUAGAAUUUGAGCUGUCUUCAUGAAGAUCCCAGGACUGGUAUUGAAGUAGGAGCCCGUUGCCUUGACCCACUGAGUGGGCUUUUGUUUGGUCCAUUCCUGCUGUGAUUGAUAAAGAGUUGUGACUGUGGCACACCAGAGUGACAGCAGCUGAAAGUUCCAUCAAUGCAGCCUUAGAGUACAUUAGCAUUUCUCUAAGGAGUUUAAUAAUUACAUUGGAAGCCACUCAUGUAUUCUGAGAUAUUAAAACCUGUUAAAAGUGUGGAUGUUGCUGUCUGAGUUGGUGGACAUUAAGAUUGUACAAAUCCAUCAUAUUAAAGUUAUAAAAGAAACUUGAUUUCUUAACAUGCUCUAAAGACUGCUUGUUUUGAUUCAGUUAGAUUACAGUCAAACUAUCAGAUGGCUUUUGUUUACAAAUAGGUAAAUUAUCCGUGUGUAUUUAAGUGCUGUGUUGUCUUUAAGGGUUUGCCUCAGUUUUCACAGGUUCAUCAUCGUGUAUGAACUUCUCCAGUAAUGUCUGUGUGUAAGACUCAGAGAUUUUUUCUGUUUUUUGUUUUCAUAGAUUAGAAACGUGUUUACAGUCUCCGUCUCAAUGAUCACCAGUGAAAUGUAACUUCCAGGCUUACAUCCACAGGGGCUGACUUUAACUCCUGGAAGGGAAGCAGCAGGUCCCUGGAGUAUAGAGCCACUGCUUGCCAGCGGCUUCCCAGUAACAGGGAGAGUAACAGUGUUAGGGUUCGAUCUCUUUUUAAAUUCUAAGCCACACAGCAUGGUGGUUCAUGAUCCUUACUCUGGUAUUUAAGAGGCUAAAGCAGGAGAUUGCUAGCUUGGCUACAUAGCAAGUGCGAGACCAGCCAGACUUUGUCUCAAAAAGACAAUUGUUUCAGUGUACAUAUAGUACAUUCAAUUGAGGUUUGGUGAUUUUUGUUUUUUUUUGUUUGUUUGUUUUUUGUUUUUUGUUUUUUUUUUUUUGAAAGCUGCUUCAUUUAUUGAGAAGCAAUUUUCAAACUAUAACCAAUUAAAUUUAUAUUGUUUCUCCUCUUUUUAAGAAACAGCCAUUAUAUACAAUGUUCCUUUAAAUGAACUAAAGUCUUCUUUUUAAUGUGAUUUUAAAUGUUAGUGUUUUUUAGGUUCUCUCUUCAUAGUAAGGAAUCUUCCAGAGGGAAAUGUUGCGCUCCUAGGGAAACCUUCCCCGUGCCUUCCCUGAGUGAGUCUGACCCUAUUAGCACCUGCUUGGUAGUAUAUUUCACAAAUUUACUUUUAAAUUUUAUUUUAGAUAUUAUAUAAUGUGCAAUCCAGAGUAAUUUUAUAACAGUCAUAAAAACAUAACUAUUAAGGUUCACAACCUUGUUCUCUAGACAAGAGAAUGAACCUAUACUGAUAUAAUUAUUUUUUUGCUAUGUUGAAUGUUUUUCAGUUUUGACUUUUUUUCAGUAAGACACUACCCAUCCUACCAUCCUGUAUUACUUUCUGAUGUAAAGCAACUUAUAUUUACACUAUGCCAUAUUUUUUUUAUUGUAGUUGUAAAUUAUGAAAGAUCCUUGAAUUUUCUACAGAUCUACAACUACUAAAGUAACAGACAAGGGCAAUCUUGAUAUAUAAAUCUGAGCAUGGCAGUUCUACCAUAAAAAGUACUCUAUUUUUCUAAUUUCUAGAAUUUUUAAAAUAAUGUUUCUGUAAGUCUGACAUACUAAUAUUCACUCAAGCAGUAACAUUUAUUUUAGCUUGCAUAUAUUUUAAUUUAAUGUAAUGUAUUGAGUCUAAUAGACUGUUUUGCAAUAAUUAGAGUAAAAGAUUUACUUCUUCUAAUCAGAGAUGCAGAACAGCUCUCAUCUAGGGACCACCAAAUGUGAGUUCACAGUUUUAACUACUAUAAACACAAUCCGUACAUAGAAAAUUUAAUUUUGUAAAGUAGCCUGUAUGAUAUUGUAACAUUAAGUCCAUGUUCUCAAAUCAAAAAUAUGUGUUGACCUCCAGUGUGUUGUGCUCAGUCUUGCUCUGAAAUGUUGAGGCAAGAUUGGUCUUCCUUUUUACAGAUUGUAAUUUUCACUGUUUUAUUCCUGUUUUUAAAAAAAAGUCAUUUGUAACCCAUGCAAACAAUCGUUUGAUCUGUGCUAACUUAUAAAUUUGGCUAUUCAAUAAAGUUAAUCAAAAGAGCUUAUGUACAGUGGCUGGUUAUUGAAUAUAGUCUAGAGUGGUGGCCUCAGCCUUUACAAGGUGCUGUCGUGGGGAUAGACUCUCCCAUAGCCUCAUCUAGCUGCAGACUGACUGCAUAGCCAAGGACAGAACCUUGAACUUCUGAUCCUGCUGCUUUUACCUCAUAAGUACUAGAAUUACAAGUGUUCCACUGGGCCUUGAUUUAUGUGGUACUGAGGAGCAACACAGGGGGCCUUCACUUGAGCUAGGCAAACAUUCUACCAAUUGAGUCACAUCCCCAGCCUUAAAGUAAAUUCUUGAUGCUCUGCAAGGGUAGCUAGGCUUGAAAUUCCAGACUGGAAGGGACAUCUUCCAAUCUGAAUGUUUUGUGCCUGAAAAGAUGACUACUGUAUAUAGUCCCAACUGUUGUUCAUUUAAAGAUACGCUCCUAGCCUUUGAUGGCUUUUCUCCUUACUUUACAGUUGUAUUUCCCUGGGCUGUUUAUCUUACUUGUCUUCAGGUGACACUGUAAUAAGAAGAUCCUUGUUCUACAAUUCUGGACAUUCCUAGCCAUCUUCUUUCCAAGUGUUUUAUCUGCUUGGGGGGAUUUUUGUUUUGUUUUGCAAGAGUCAUGGUUGAGG